UACGUAGGGCGCAAGCGUUGUCCGGAAUUAUUGGGCGUAAAGAGCUCGUAGGCGGUUCGUCACGUCGGCUGUGAAAUCCCGAGGCUCAACCUCGGGUCUGCAGUCGAUACGGGCGGACUGGAGUACUGCAGGGGAGACUGGAAUUCCUGGUGUAGCGGUGAAAUGCGCAGAUAUCAGGAGGAACACCGGUGGCGAAGGCGGGUCUCUGGGCAGUAACUGACGCUGAGGAGCGAAAGCGUGGGGAGCGAACAGG
rnacentral:rRNA from 1 species